rnacentral:rRNA from 1 species
UGACCUCAAAUCGGGAAGGAAUACCCGUGGAACUUAAGCAUAUCAAUAAACGGAAGAAAAAGG